rnacentral:rRNA from 1 species
UACGGGGGGGGCUAGCGUUGUUCGGAUUUACUGGGCGUAAAGGGCGCGUAGGCGGCAAUUCAAGUCAGCUGUGAAAUCUCCGGGCUUAACUCGGAACGGUCAGCUGAUACUGCUUUGCUAGAGUGCAGAAGGGGCAAUCGGAAUUCUUGGUGUAGCGGUGAAAUGCGUAGAUAUCAAGAGGAACACCUGAGGUGAAGACGGGUUGCUGGGCUGACACUGACGCUGAGGCGCGAAAGCUAGGGUAGCAAACGGG